GAGUGAUGGUUUCUGAAAUGGUGAGCACAUCUGGAUAUCUACAUUUCACCUUGACUGUUUUGGAGAGAAUUUUAUUAAAGAGGAAGAAAUGAAGACUGGACCAGAAGGUUCCAUCCCUACCUAAAAUCCUGCAGAAAAAAAUUCUAAUGGGAAUAAAGAUCCAAAUAUAAAAACAAGGCAUGUCAACACAAAACCCAGAAGCUCUAAAGGAAGACUGCCGUAUGAAAAUAAAGAAUUCGUAAAUCAAGAUGGCACUAGCAUUUCAUCUUCCCUUCAUUUACCCAGGAUCAAUCCUCGGCGUUUGCUCUGCUUGCCUGCUACUUACUCAGUUUUUUCAAUAAGGAAGCCCAUUAAAACUGUCCUGGAAGGUAGUAUGAGGACUGUCCUCAAGGGACUGUUUCUAAAACUUUGGCACCUUACCAGAAAACCAGAUGAAUUAUCCAGGAGACACCUUAGCCGGCAAAUGAAGC